rnacentral:rRNA from 1 species
UACGAAGGGGGCUAGCGUUGUUCGGAAUUACUGGGCGUAAAGCGCGCGCAGGCGGUUUUUCAAGUCAGUGGUGAAAGCCCGGAGCUCAACUCCGGAACUGCCAUUGAAACUGUAAAACUUGAGGACGAGAGAGGUGAGUGGAAUUCCCAGUGUAGAGGUGAAAUUCGUAGAUAUUGGGAAGAACACCGGUGGCGAAGGCGGCUCACUGGCUCGUAUCUGACGCUCAGGCGCGACAGCGUGGGGAUCAAACAGG